rnacentral:rRNA from 1 species
CCUACGGGGUGCAGCAGUAGGGAAUAUUGCUCAAUGGGGGAAACCCUGAAGCAGCAACGCCGCGUGGAGGAUGAAGGUUUUCGGAUUGUAAACCACUGUCCCCAGGGACGAAAAUGACGGUACCUGGGGAGGAAGCUCCGGCUAACUACGUGCCAGCAGCCGCGGUAAUACGUAGGGAGCGAGCGUUGUCCGGAAUUACUGGGUGUAAAGGGAGCGUAGGCGGGGAUGCAAGUUGGGUGUCAAAACUACCGGCUCAACUGGUAGUCGCACUCAAAACUGCAGCUCUUGAGUGAAGUAGAGGCAGGCGGAAUUCCUAGUGUAGCGGUGAAAUGCGUAGAUAUUAGGAGGAACACCAGUGGCGAAGGCGGCCUGCUGGGCUUUUACUGACGCUGAGGCUCGAAAGUGUGGGGAGCAAACAGGAUUAGAUACCCCUGUAGUC